rnacentral:misc_RNA from 1 species
GUGAAUCAUCAAAUCUUUGAACGCAAAUUGCACUCUCUGGUAUUCCGGAGAGUAUGCCUGUUUGAGGGUAAUUAAAAUGAAUCUUUAACCAAUUUUUUUUUGUCAAAGGAAAUGAUCUCUCCGCGUUUAUAGCUGUAGCUUGAAAUAAAUGGUCAAGUAUCAUUUUAGUCGAGACGCGUAAUAAUAUUAUUUCUCUACAUCUUCAUUAUGUUACUAUCAAGUUUUGAUCCAUACAAAUUUUCUUUUUAUGCGCUCAAUACAAAUAUUUUGAACAUUACCUCCAAUCAGUUACGAGUACCC